rnacentral:rRNA from 1 species
UACGGGGGGAGCAAGCGUUGUUCGGAUUUACUGGGCGUAAAGGGCGCGUAGGCGGCGUGACAAGUCACUUGUGAAAUCUCCGGGCUUAACCCGGAGCGGCCAAGUGAUACUGUCGUGCUAGAGUGCGGAAGGGGCUACUGGAAUUCUCGGUGUAGCGGUGAAAUGCGUAGAUAUCGAGAGGAACACCUGCGGCGAAGGCGGGUAGCUGGGCCGACACUGACGCUGAGGCGCGAAAGCGUGGGGAGCGAACAGG